UGGGGAAUCUUGGACAAUGGGCGCAAGCCUGAUCCAGCCAUGCCGCGUGAGCGAUGAAGGCCUUAGGGUUGUAAAGCUCUUUCACCGGUGAAGAUAAUGACGGUAGCCGGAGAAGAAGCCCCGGCUAACUCCGUGCCAGCAGCCGCGGUAAUACGGAGGGGGCUAGCGUUGUUCGGAAUUACUGGGCGUAAAGCGCGCGUAGGCGGACUGAUCAGUCAGGGGUGAAAUCCCGGGGCUCAACCCCGGAACUGCCUUUGAUACUGUCAGUCUUGAGUCCGGAAGAGGUGAGUGGAAUUCCAAGUGUAGAGGUGAAAUUCGUAGAUAUUUGGAGGAACACCAGUGGCGAAGGCGGCUCACUGGCUCGAUACUGACGCUGAGGUGCGAAAGUGUGGGGAGCAAACAGGAUUAGAUACCCUGGUAGUCCACGCCGUAAACGAUGUCAACUAGCCGUUGGGAGGGUUGCCUCUUAGUGGCGCAGCUAACGCGAUAAGUUGACCGCCUGGGAGUACGGUCGCAAGAUUAAAA
rnacentral:rRNA from 1 species